ACCAGUACUUUCCAUCAUGGGCUCCUGUGGAAAAUGACCCCAGCUCAGCUCAGUAGUUGAUGGGACAUCUGAUUCAGGUUGGGCCCAGCCCAGACAUCUGAUUCAAACAAUAUUCUUCUCCAGGAAUUUUGUAACCAGCACUGGUAAAGGGAGGGAACUGCUCCCCAGUGGGGAGAGCUGCAGAAUGUGAGACUUGGAAACCAAAGGCCGCCAUGUUUUCUGUCUCAUGAUGGAACCCAAUCUUCUUUGGCGGGGAAAAUAAAUCAAGCCAACACCAGUAGGUAUAA
rnacentral:lncRNA from 1 species